GGCCUGAACACUCGAGGCUCCAUCCGGCUUUAAAGAGAGGACCUGGAUCCGGGCGAGUACCCAUCGUCUUCAAAGAUCCUCCCAGCUACAUCAGAAAUUUGGACAGAGAGAGAGAGAGAGAGAGAGAGAGAGAGAAACAAAAAUGCCGGUGAUGGAAAAGUUGAGGAUGUUCAUAGCGCAAGAGCCUGUGGUGGCUGCUUCUUGCCUUAUUGGUGGUAUCGGUCUCUUCCUUCCAGCUGUGGUGAGGCCCAUUCUGGAUUCCUUAGAAGGAAGCAAGCACGUCCCUGAAAAGCAGCCUUCCAUUAGUGAUGUGCUUGCAGGUAUGACAGGCAAAAGGCAGGGAUGAAUCAUUUGUAGAAGCAAGUGGCAGAGUUUCAAACGUUCCCCCAGCCCCAUUGUAUUGUUACUCUUUUUUCCGGUUCCUAACAGCUUGAAAUAAGUCUUACCUUUUUACAUGAUGGAACCCUCAUAAAUAUUGAAUGUUGGGCAUCAACCUGUUUUGUGUAAGCA